GUAGUCUAUUAUAUAAUAAGUUCAACUGUUCAUGCUGUUGGCGGCAAUUUCAAAUUAGAAAAAGAAAUUUUCGUAGCUUUUCAAUUUGGAGGCAGGUGUGCAAAUUAGCGGUGGUCCGAGUUCCGCGACCUUCCACUUUUGCAAGCGGAAUUUCGACUAGGAUAGUUGGUUUCUAGCUACGCCCGACGUAGUCACCUUACAUUUGAAAGAAAAUAAGAAAUUACUUUGCAAACCUUUUCACCAUGUUCACCAAAGUCUCCAAUUAAACGAGCUAAAAACUUAUUUUUAUCAUUAUUAUUCAUGACGGCGAUGUUCAUUUUGUUCAACCGCUAGCUUUAUACAGAAAAUCGCCGACAAAUAUUGUAUAAAUUCGAGUAAAAUCGUAUCUGAUUGACAAAAACGACAUUGUAAACACAUAACAAUGGCGGCCGUGAAGACAAAAUUUUACAAAAUCGGAUCCGAUUCCGGAAGCGGAUAAGGGUAAUUCCGGGUUUGGCGAUCAUUUACAAAAUAAAUCCAAGCAGGUGAAAAAAUACAUCUAUGCAUGGUAAAUGAAUAUAAACACUAUUAUUGUACACCGAAAGAUAUAUGUACAAGAAAGAAAAAGCAGAAAAAUAUUUUAUUCAGAAACUCAAAAUUACUUUUUGACAAAUUUUAAUUUAAAAAUCCAAUGCAACGUGACAGCUGGGAACAGUAUAUCUAACAAUAUACAUGUUCAUGGUCACAGUCUAAAUUUUCUUUAUAAAUGAUAAAUGAUGAUAAUGCAUGUGAGAUGCUUUUAAAGUGUAAACAUAUUACUGCAAUUUCGAGGGUUAUUUGUUUUUUUCUCAAUUUUGAAGGGUCAAUUAAAGUAGCUUAAAGUUCCAUUCUUUAUUUUCACAAAUAAUGCAACUAUAUUAUAUAUACCUUAAUGUAAGUAAAUCAUAUGAUAUAUAGGUGGCAUUCUUUGGGCCACUUUACCCCCUCCUGUUUGAUAACUUGGAAACGGUCGAGCUCCCCACCCCUAAACCAUAUGAGGGACAGAUCCAGGAUUUUAGGUUAGGAGGGGCGCAAACUUAAAUUUUCGCCGAGCAGAGCGAGGCUAAAAAAAAAAUUGAGGUAAAAUUAUCGGAAUAUUCUUUAUUAAGCUGAGAAACAACCCAUACUUUGCAAAUUUAAGGGGGGUGCAAGCCCGCAACCCUCCCCCGUCUGAAUCCGCCACUGCAUAUAUUCAAGUAUAGGACAAUAUGAUAAAUAAAAAAUGAAAUAUAGGGGGAGUCCCUGGAGUUACCCCACCCCCUCCUGUUUGAGAACUUGGAAACGGUCGAGAUCCACACCCCUUAACCAUAUAUAUUCAUGUUUGUGACAAUAUGAAAAAUCAAAUGAAAUAUAGGAAGUGACGCUAGGGGUCACCCACCCCUCCAGUUUUAGAAUUUAAAAAUGGUCGAGAUCCCCAUCCCUAAACCCUAUAUAUUCAUGUAUGGGACAAUAUAACAAAUCAGAUGAAAGAUAGGGGGAGUCCCUGAGGUCACUGUUCACCCUCCUGUUUGAGAACUUGGAAAUGGUCAAGAUCCUUACCCCUAAACCAUAUAUACUCAUGUAUGGGACAAUAUAACAAAUUAAAUGAAAUAUAGGGAAGUCCCUGUGGUCAUCCCAACCCUCCUGUUUGAGAACUUGGAAACGGUCGAGAUCCCCACACCAAAACAAUAUAUAUUCAUGUAUGGAUCAAUAUAACUAAUUAAAUGAAAUAUAGGGGGAGUCCCUUGGGUCACCCUACCCCUCCUGUUUGAGAACUUGGAAACCAAUGAGAUCCCCACCCCUAAACCAUAUAUAUUCAUGUAUGGGACAAUAUAACAUAUAAAAUGAAAUGUAGGGGAAGUCCCUAGGGUCACCCACCCCCAGUGGCGCAUCCAGAAAUUUUCAUAAGUGGGGCCACUGACUGACCUAAGAGGGGCCCGCUCCAGUCACGCUUCAGUGAUUCCCUAUAUAAGCAACCAAAUUUUUUUCCCAAAAAGGGGGGGGCCGGGCCCCCUGCCCCCUAAAUCCUCUGCCUACCCCUACCUGUUUGAGAACUUGAAAACCGUUGAGAUCCCCACCCCUAAAUUAUAUAUAUUCAUAUGUAUGGGACAAAAUAACAAAUCAUUUACAUUUACUUUGGGCAAGUCAGUCAGACCUCACCUUUGAUCCCUGUUGUAGUGAACAUUUGUCUGAUUCAUGUCUCAUAACUUUUGUACUAUAGAACACAAACUCAGUUUUCUUUCCAGGGAAACCAGUCCAUUCAUACUAUUACAUGUUCAUACUAAGUCAAAUUGAACUUCUAGCAGUCAAAUAAAACCAAGGUUAACUACCAAGUAGAACAACUGCAAUCAUUGGGAACUUGUACCACUGCAGACUCACCAUAAAAAAUAUACAUUGAUAUAUGCAUUGCUUUUGAAACCUUGAUAACAUAUAAAUUAUUUGCCUUAAUAAAUAAAUCAUUAGAUAAACAUGAAUGUACUUUAUAUGAAUGUUUAAUGUUGAAGCAACAUUGCAACAGUUUUCAUAAUUACGGUUGCCUUGGUUUUUGGUUAACUGCCUUCAGCGCUUACAGCGCUUUGAUUAUUUUGCAGAAUUUGCUA
rnacentral:lncRNA from 1 species